UGCAAGUCGAGCGAAUCUGAGGGAGCUUGCUCCUAAAGAUUAGCGGCGGACGGGUGAGUAACACGUGGGCAACCUGCCUGUAAGACUGGGAUAACUUCGGGAAACCGGAGCUAAUACCGGAUAAUCCAAGAAACCACAUGGUUUCUUGCUAAAAGAUGGCUCCGGCUAUCACUUACAGAUGGGCCCGCGGCGCAUUAGCUAGUUGGUGAGGUAAUGGCUCACCAAGGCGACGAUGCGUAGCCGACCUGAGAGGGUGAUCGGCCACACUGGGACUGAGACACGGCCCAGACUCCUACGGGAGGCAGCAGUAGGGAAUCUUCCGCAAUGGACGAAAGUCUGACGGAGCAACGCCGCGUGAGUGAUGAAGGUUUUCGGAUCGUAAAACUCUGUUGUUAGGGAAGAACAAGUACCGUUCGAAUAGGGCGGUACCUUGACGGUACCUAACCAGAAAGCCACGGCUAACUACGUGCCAGCAGCCGCGGUAAUACGUAGGUGGCAAGCGUUGUCCGGAAUUAUUGGGCGUAAAGCGCGCGCAGGCGGUCUUUUAAGUCUGAUGUGAAAGCCCCCGGCUCAACCGGGGAGGGUCAUUGGAAACUGGGAGACUUGAGUGCAGAAGAGAAGAGUGGAAUUCCACGUGUAGCGGCGAAAUGCGUAGAGAUGUGGAGGAACACCAGUGGCGAAGGCGACUCUUUGGUCUGUAACUGACGCUGAGGCGCGAAAGCGUGGGGAGCAAACAGGAUUAGAUACCCUGGUAGUCCACGCCGUAAACGAUGAGUGCUAAGUGUUAGAGGGUUUCCGCCCUUUAGUGCUGCAGCAAACGCAUUAAGCACUCCGCCUGG
rnacentral:rRNA from 1 species